CAUAAUUAGAAAAGUAUCACCAUUUUCCUGGGACAAAAAUAUGUAAGUUUAAACAUUUUUAGUGCCAGGUCAGUAGUCACGAUUUACCAACAGCAUUUUUUAUUUUAAAAAUACAGUUAGUGACUACACCAUUGGCUAACAAACUGAGACUUAAAGCAUUCUCUAGAUGCAAAUGCUACAAAUAAAUCAAAUUAUUAGGCAUAUUCACUAAUACUUACAAACUUAACUUCAUAUAUAAAGCAAGGUAGAUCACCAGUGUGGCCAUGCAAACAGGGUUUGAGGACUUCAAUAUUUAAAGCAAGUUAGUCCAACCCACAGCCCAAGGGCCACAUGCAGCCCAGGAUGGCUUUGAAUGAGGCCCAACACAAAUUAGCAAAUUACUAAACUUACUUAAAAUGAUGGGAUUUUAUUUUUUGCCAUUUUUUGGUUUGUGUGUUUGGUUUUUAGCUCAUCAGCUUUGUUAGUGUUAGUGUAUUUUAUGUGUGGCCCAAGACAAUACUUCCAAUGUGGCCCAGGGAAGCCAAAAGAUUGGACACUCCUGAUUUAAAGGGAAAAGGGAGGGCAGAUGAAGAAAGAGGAUAAAAAAAAGAGAGAGAAGGUAGACAAAACAGGAAAGUGGUUAGUCUUUGGAGGCUUUGAUUAGCACUUACUGAAUCUACAUUUUACAUGUGAAAGGAGUGGGUAGCGAAACAGUGAAUUAUGCAUAGUGCUCAGUGCGUCUGCAUUUUUGCAUAAGAUAAAGUAAACAUAGAGGAGGUGCUCAAAUAUGCAUUCCUCUCAGGUGAGCCAAGGGAUGCCCUCUAGGCCUGUCUUUGUCAAGGUACCGGUGAAGAUAAGCUGUUAGUUUACAUUGUCAAGGUGAAAUAGAACAGCGUUCUGUUUUAGGGUAAAGCUCUUGGGGCCCACGAGGAAUUUCCUUGUGAGCAAUUUGUGAAGGAGGCCACCGGGGGAGACAUGUGGCCUUCUGUCUUUGCAGCUAUCUACUUAGGAACAAAAUGGAAGGCAGUUUUUGCAUGAUGCAGUUACUGAGCUUCACUUUUCCCUUUGGCAUAGUGAGUUUGGGGUCCUGAGAUUUUUAUAUUCCUUUCACAGCCUCACUAUACUUGAAUUAAAAUACAAUCUACAUGUUAAAACUGACCACAUCAUUCUUUCCUGUGUGUCUUCAAAGGAUUUAAGGCCCAUCCAGAUAAUCCAAGAUGAUCUCAUUUCAAAGCCUUAAUUAUAUCUUUGAUGACUCUUUUUCCAAAUAAGGUCUCAAUUAGAGGUUCCUGGAAUAAGACACGGACUCAUCUCCCUGGGGGCCACCAUUCAGCCUGAUCCGGAAGGAAGGCCAUGAUUUCAGCUCUCUGGGAUUUGAGACAAAGAGGCCCCUUUUCUUUCAUUUUAUCUUUUCAUGUCUCUUCUUGCCAUGUACCCACAUGAUUGAGUGUGGGCUGAGGGUGAAUCCAAGAAGGGCUUUGUUUUGUGGUCAGUACAGGCUUUGGUCCACAGAGACAACAAUACUUUCAAUACUCUUUUGUUCUGCCCCAGAGGAGCUCAACACAGAAUUGCCUAGAACAAGAAACUGGUGAGAGAAGCUGCAGCCUGUUGAGACUCCACAAGACUGAAGAUAUGAAAAGAGGAAAUAUGCAUGAAUGCCCGCACGGAGAACCACCCCCACCUGCUGCUCCCGCUCUAAUGAUCACGCCCAUUAUCAACUGGGGGAUGGCUCUGUGCCUUGUCCUUGCAUUACAUGGACCAAGAACACUUCACAGGACUCAGAGAGGCAAAAAUAGAUACAAAAGAAGAAGGAAUUACAGAAGAAGUCACAUAACAUUAUUGCCUACAACUGACUGUUUACCUUGAAUACUUGAAGACCAGAAUGAAGAUUCUUGGGGUGAAGAAUUACAGCCUUAGCAUGGAGCAGGCCUCGGUGCAUCGGCUUUCAGCUAGGCAUGCCUGCCAAUGUUCAACGUCCUCCUGGGAUACGGAAGGCACCGUGAUAGACAUCUGGGCAAGUCAACAGGAAGGUGGAUAUCCAAAUCUCUCUCUUCGCAAUGAGUUUCCAGUUAGAUGGAGGAGAGAGUAAUAAAACACAGAGCUGAGAUUCCUGACUUCACAGAUCCCUGAGGAGAUGUUUACUAAAGGGAAUCUUCUGGUCACUGUUACCUUCCUCCGUACUUACCUGCCUCAUGGAUAACACUGAAGAAUGCAGUUUACUUACAUCUUUUUCUGUUUGACAGAAGACAGUUAUUAGAACCCGAAAGGAAGAAGCUAUACGACUGGGGACACAUGUCUUAGAAGCACACUCAUUAGAUAAAGUGUCGCAUACUCUUUGAUAAGACAACCCUUACAAGAUUUUUGCCCAGCGAAAGUGGCACGUGGAACAUGGAAUGACAUUUCAUAAAGAUAAAUCCAGAGAUUAGUGCUGAAGACUACACCCCUGUGUAGUCCCACACAGGCUACCCCAGACCAGCCUGGCGGGCUCUGCACUAGGCCUCCCAUCAGGCGAGAGCCAACGCUCCUCAGCCCGGCUCCACCUCAUUCAGAAGAAAGUGUGUCUCCCGG
rnacentral:lncRNA from 10 species